UACGGGGGGAGCAAGCGUUGUUCGGAUUUACUGGGCGUAAAGGGCGCGUAGGCGGCCACCGCAAGUCGGUUGUGAAAUCUCUGGGCUUAACCCAGAAAGGUCAACCGAUACUGCGGGGCUAGAGUGCAGAAGGGGCAACUGGAAUUCUCGGUGUAGCGGUGAAAUGCGUAGAGUAUCGAGAGGAACACCUGCGGCGAAGGCGGGUUGCUGGGCCGACACUGACGCUGAUGCGCGAAAGCCAGGGGAGCGAACGGGG
rnacentral:rRNA from 1 species